UUUACCUAAAGAAAAUUAUGCAUACAUUUUCCCUGACACUCAAAAGUACUCGUUACAUUUGAAUGGUUAGCAGGGCAGAAACAUUGUCUAAUCCACAUACUUAUCAAGAGAACAUCCCUGGUCAUCCCUACUGCCUCUGAUCUGGCACCCCAUCGAGAAAAAUCAUCAGAAAUCACGCGAUAUGGAUCAGACAGUGGGGCGCCGCCUGACCCACUAGUUGGUCAGAAGGUUCAAAUAAACAUUUCAUAUCGUAAUUUCCGAGAAGGCAAAAAGCAUCAAUCACGGCUGUUAUUACACCCCGUAUAUGUUGGUGGCGGUAAUUACAAUUUUAUUGUGCUGGAACUAAAACUAGAAGAAAAUCUUCUGACGUCCUUUCCUUUCGUCGAAGAUGUAAUCUUUUAGAAGAAAAAGAGCCACGCUGGUUUACAGAGACCUGACUAGAGGCGUGAUAGCACCUACACCCCUGCCAUCAACUUGGAUCGGGAGUACUGGGAGAACAGAGCCGGUUCCCUCUGCAGCAGAAGUUGUGCCCAGCUGUAGUGAUGCACCUCCUCCACCAGCAUAAAAAAAAGGAAGACAGCGGAUGUUGAGGCCUGGAAGGGGUUGAGGGAGCUACUCCACAUGCCUGCAGAGGAGCAGGAAUGUCCUCCACCCAACGCCAUCUGCAGUCUGUGUAGAGUUUUGGAGGAGGCUGAGCUAUGACGCUGUGGGGAUUGUGGCUCAGAUAAAUAUUUCUGUGCCACCUGUGCUGUGAGAACACACAGCACUCCCAACAUUGUCCACCAGUUGGAGUUAUGGAAGAAACAUGAGUUCCCCCUCCCGUGCUUAAUCUAUUCUACAUGAAGUCUUCUGACCUGUGUGCCAGCACUUCACGCUGCGUAAUCCACUCUACACUCAAAUGGAUUUUCCCUUCCUAACAGCCUGGAGAAAAGGUUGAAGGCCAUGGAGAAGAGAAACCUGAUUGUACGCUGGUCUCUUCAACACUGUGCAGCAAUUUUGGAAAGUUUGCAGACUAUGAAGACUCACUGUCUGCUGGCCACAAUCCAUAGGCUUGUCCUGGAGCACUCUUUCUAUUGUGGCCUGGUCAGAAAGUAUGCAGGUACUGCAGCCAAUUCAGUGUUGUUGAACACUGCAUCACACCCUGGCAUAUCACUGCUGUUGUUAUCUAAGUCUCAUUCACCCAGGUGCUUUGAACUAUAUGAAAGAUUUCUAUCAAUCAAACUUGAAGAUUUUCUUUACCAUUUUUUUAUUUAUUUUUAUUCUGAUGGACAAACCAUUGCUGUGCGGCUCUUCAGAAAAAUCAAGCGGACAUCGGAGAGAAUAAAACAGCAGAUCAACACCUACAAUUGAAGGAACAAGUCACCUCAACUCCCCCCAAGACUGGAGUAUGAGGAUGUUCUCCACAACAGCUUGGGGGACAGUCUGCUCCGGGCAAAGCAGCGUGCAGUGAUGCUGCAUAACAUGUGCCUUAGGGCAGCGGAGGAGAGGCACCUUAUACAGGCAGACCUACAAAAUGGCCUUUUGUAUUGCCAGCGAGAGCUGGGGAUUUUUGAAGAGGCCCUUGCUGCUCUUGGGCAGUAUGAGGCCGAGCCAACACGCUUUCACCUGGGUGCCUCUGUGCUGCUCCGAAAUAAAAUGCAGAACAUAUUAAAGCUCCAGCAAGCAUUUUCAGUUUUGGCUGGUGAUGGCUUGGUCAGCACAGAUGUAGAGGAGGUUGCAUCCCCCCCCC